AUUAACUUCAAUAAAUUAUUGAUUAUUUUAUUACAUUUUAAAACAUUAUGGUGUCGCUAACUAUACUGGAAUGUUGGAACUAACUAAACUCUGUAGAUAAAAAGUGGAGAGUUCGAUCGAAUCAAUUCUAACCUGCAAGUGAGUUGAUAAACAUCUCUCUUUUUAGCUGUGAUGAUUGAAACAAAUAUGAAACAUUUUGUUAAGAAAUAAUAGAAAUUACAUUUCACAAGAUCAAAAUUGAUGAAGGGGGUUCCACGCAUGGGAUUUAGACUGCUCCGUCAGAGCAUGCUCCGUGUUCCAGAGACUGCCGCUUGCUAUCCCUCUCCAAUGUUCCUUGCGGAGGAUAAACUCCUGGGGGUUGGUUGAGAGCUGUCUGUGAUUGGACAGAACCGUAUUGGAUCUACCCCGCAGGCUACUCUGCACGGAAGAAGUAGCUUAGUUUGCCACAAGCUGCCGUUGAAUUUGCUUGGCAGUGUGUUUCAAAGAGUUAUCAGGGUGUCAGGAUUAUUUCAAGCAGUGAUGGCUUUGGGAAAUGUGCUUAUUCCAAGUGUAUUAGAUUGUUAACAAGAACUACUGAUAUAUAAUUUACAAUUUAUAUAGUGCUGUGAAGAAACAAUACUUGAUUGCAUUUUAUUUUUGCGUAUACUGAAAUGUUCAUUCUUUACAAUUAAUUUUUAGUUAUUUAAAGGUAGACAAUGAAAAAUUCUAUAUGAUGUUCACAAUAUUAGCUAUAUAAAUAAAUAUUUAAUCAAAAAGGCAUACAUGCUUUGUAUAUUUUGGGAAAGGUUUCUUGUUGUAUCAUCUAGAUGUUCUUAAAUAUAUUUUGACAAACAUUAAGCAUCAUUGCUGUAUUCUAUUAAAACUAUUAGAAUGAAAGAAAGUAUAUUAUGAUUAGUUUUUCAAUCGUUAAAGAAAUAUCUUUCAUUAUUUGUACUGUUUUUAGUUGAUUCGCAAUACAUGUGAUUUUUUAUUACAUUCUUUAGUUGAUUUUUACAAUAUAAAUUAUAUAU